UGUGCUAAGGUAGCAUAAUCAUUUGGCUUUUAAUUAAGGUCUCGUAUGAAAGGUUUAACAUAACUUUAAACGUCUCCCCCUCAAAUCCUAAGUUAGUAUCUAGGUGAUAAACCCCAGAUAACCCAGAGGGACGACAAGACCCUAAAAGCUAUUUUAUUUCGGGUGGACAAGGUAAAGGGCCUAGGAAGUUUGCUGGGGCGGCAAGUAUGAUUUUUACAGCCAUAUUUUUAAUAGACUUGUGAGCAGUUUCUCCCUUUUAAGGGAUUAGAGUUACUUUAGGGAUAACAGCACAAUUCUCUAUAAUAGACCUAAUUGUCUAGGGAGUUUGUGACCUCGAUGUUGAAUUAGGGAGUCUUUAGAUGGCAG
rnacentral:rRNA from 1 species